ACCUGGAAGAGGAGCUCAAGAAUGU
rnacentral:piRNA from 1 species